rnacentral:rRNA from 1 species
UACGUAGGGUGCGAGCGUUUGUCCGGAAUUACUGGGCGUAAAGAGCUCGUAGGUGGUUUGUCGCGUUGUUCGUGAAAACUCACAACUCAAUUGUGGGCGUGCGGGCGAUACGGGGCAGACUGGAGUACUGCAGGGGAGACUGGAAUUCCUGGUGUAGCGGUGGAAUGCGCAGAUAUCAGGAGGAACACCGAUGGCGAAGGCAGGAUCUCUGGGCGAUUAACUGACGCUGGAGGAGCGAAAAGCAUGGGGAGGCGAACAGGA